rnacentral:rRNA from 1 species
GAUGAACGCUGGCGGCGUGCCUAACACAUGCAAGUCAAGCGAUUUACUUCGGUAAAGAGCGGCGGACGGGUGAGUAACGCGUGGGUAACCUGCCCUGUACACACGGAUAACAUACCGAAAGGUAUGCUAAUACGAGAUAAUAUGCUUUUAUCGCAUGGUAGAAGUAUCAAAGCUUUUGCGGUACAGGAUGGACCCGCGUCUGAUUAGCUAGUUGGUAAGGUAACGGCUUACCAAGGCGACGCUCAGUAGCCGACCUGAGAGGGUGAUCGGCCACAUUGGAACUGAGACACGGUACAAACUCCUACGGGAGGCAGCAGUGGGGAAUAUUGCACAAUGGGCGAAAGCCUGAUGCAGCAACGCCGCGUGAGCGAUGAAGGCCUUCGGGUCGUAAAGCUCUGUCCUCAAGGAAGAUAAUGACGGUACUUGAGGAGGAAGCCCCGGCUAACUACGUGCCAGCCGCCGCAGUAA